rnacentral:lncRNA from 10 species
CCAGAAUUUACUUUGGUGUAUGCUCUCUGAGAUGGUGACCUCACUCCUCCAAUACCACAGUGACAUUGGAAGCCAUGUGCUGAACCUGGAGAGCCACCAUCAAUCUGGAUCUCUUCAUAACUUUGUGUAGUAGAAUGCCUAUUGCCUUUCUCACUCUGGAAAUGUUGGGGAAAGAUUCUCCACGAGUUUCUCCUGUUUCUGCAGGUCUUUCAAGUAGAGGCACUGACAGCUUUUGUUCUGGACUGCAUAUUUUUAUUAAUUAAACUUUUUAUUUUGAGGUAAUUGCAGAAUCACAUGCAGAAAUAAUACAGAGAGAUCUCGUAUACACUUUACUCAGUUUUCUCCAAUGCUAACAUCAUGUAAAACUAUAGUGCACAUCACAACCAGGAUAUUGACAUUGAUGCAGUCUAGCAAUCUUACUCAGAUUUCCCGAAUUUUACUUAUACUAGUUCAUGAAUGUGUGUGUGUGGGCAAUUGCAUAGUUUUAUGUAAUUUUGUCACAUUGCAGAUUCAUGUAUCCUCCACCACAGUCAAGAUACAGAAACGGCUCCACCAUCACAGAAAUCCCUCAUUUUGCCCGUUUAAGGCCAUGUACCUUCUUUUCUUCCUAUACCGCUAACAUCCAAAAACCACGCAAUAUUUUCCAUCUACAUAUUUUGCCCAUUCAAGAAUGUUACAUAAAAUGCAAGCAUGUAACUUUUUAGAAUUGACUUUUUUGACUCAGUAUAAUUUCCUUAAGAUUCAUCCAAAUUAUUGCAUGUAUGAACAGUUUGUUUCUUUUUAUUGCUCAGUAAUAUUCCACGCUAUGGAUAUAUAACAGUUUGUUUGACCACUCACCCUUUGAAGGACAGGAGAGUUCUUUCUGGUUUUUAGCUAUUAUGUAUAAAGCAGUUAUGGACAUUUAUGCACAGGUUUUUGUGUAAACAUAGUUUUUAUUUUUCUGGGUGGGAGGCCCAAGAGUCCAAUUGCUCAUUCAUACAGUAGUUGCAUUUUUAGUUUUUUUUGAGAAAUUGACUUGCUCAAUUCUGGAGUGGCUGUAGUAUUUUAUAUUUCUAUUGGCAAUAUAUAAGUAAUCCAGUUUUUGUAUUGUUGUCAGCAUUUUGUGAUACUACUAUUUUGUCUAUUAAGCAUUCGAAUGGGUAUGAAGUGAUAUCUCACCGUGGCUUUAAUUAGCAUUUCCCUAAUGGCUAAUGAUGCUGAACAUCUUUUUAUGUGUAU